UGGUAGAGGUGGGCUGGGUGUUGGCAAAGAUCUUACAGAGGAGGUGGAUCUUUGUGAGUAGUUCGAGGAUGUCAACAUAAGAGAGGAAGGUCUUCCACCUCUACUGGGGGUCAUUGACGAUGGCCCCGACGAUUGCAGGGGUAGAGCGAACGUUGGGGUGCUUAGUGAGAUUGGAGAGAGGGUGGUCAUCAUCAGAGGGCUGCAUUCCAUGCAUGACAUGAGGGUUAUAUGCUAGUAAAUAGUUAUAUCUAAAGAUUAAGGCCUAAACUUAAAAAUAUAAAAUAAUAAUUAUUAUUUUAUAUAAAAAAAAUGAUCGAAAAAUAGAACCGAUUGAAGGGUAAGGCCAUAAAAGCCUUUGCUUUAGGCCCCAGGCCC
rnacentral:lncRNA from 1 species